GGGAGCGCGAUUCAGGCCGGACGCGGAUUCCCUUUCCCAGAAGGCCCCGCGCGGAGAGGGGCCGCCGUGGGUAAGAUGGCGGCAGGUCCUGGGCCUCGCUGAGGCGGCGGCUCGGGACUGGGAUGGAGCCUCCGGCCUCGGGUCCUGAGCGGCUCUUCGACGCGCACCGGUUUCCCAGCGAUGGCUUCCUGCUGCUGGCUCUGCUGCUCUACGCCCCUGUGGGGCUCUGUCUGCUUCUCCUGCGCCUCUUCAUCGGCAUCCACGUCUUCCUGGUCAGCUGCGCCCUGCCUGACAGCUUGCUCCGGAGGUUAGGGUUUAUCGUGCGUGUGAUGUGUUCGGUGCUGGGUCUGUUUGUGCGGCAAAGUGACUCCCAUCUCCGGGAUGCCAAUGUCAGGGUUUAUAUUGCCAACCACGUGACGCCCUUCGACCACAGUGUCAUCAACCUACUGACCUCGUGCAAUACCCCUGCGCUGAAUGGCACACCGGGUUUCAUCUGCUGGUCGCGGGGAUUCAUGGAGCUGGGGGCGGUGGGGAGCCGGGCAGAGCUGGUGGAUUCCCUGAAGGUGUAUUCGUCCCAUGGGGGGAAUCCACCUCUGCUGCUGUUCCCAGAGGAGGCAGCCACUAACGGCCGAGUUGGCCUUCUUCGCUUCAGCUCCUGGCCAUUCUCAAUCCUGGACAUGAUUCAGCCCGUGGCUCUGCAAGUUCAGAGGCCCUUAAUUGCUGUGAGUGUGGCCGACUCCUCCUGGAUCACAGAGCUGCUCUGGACCUUCUUUGUUCCCUUCACAGUUUAUCAAGUAAGGUGGAUGCCGCCUGUCUUCAGACAAGCUGAUGAGCCGAAUGAGGAGUUUGCCCUCCGAGUUCAGGAGCUCUUGGCCGUGGAGCUGGGUGUGGUUUCUACGCGACUCACUGCUGCGGAUAAAGCCGAGCAUAUGAAGAGGCUCAGACACACCCCGCCUCACCUCUUUGCCCCAGCCUCAAGCCAGUCCUUGGUUGUCAGGCCAAGGGCAUCUCCCAGCCUGGCUGGUGUCGGGCCUCUUGUUCCCGAGGACGUGCGGAUCACGGAGAUGGCCCAGCGGGUCAAGGAAGUGCUCCCACAUGUGUCUCUGGGAACCAUCAGGAGAGACCUGGCCCAGACCAACUGCGUGGACACUACCAUCGCCAACCUCCUGGAGGGCCACGUGCCCCUCCUCCCUGAGGACAAGGAUCCGGAACCUGACCUGCUUGCUCCGUCGACGUCCCAGACUCCAGCGGCCUCCAGCUCUCAGUGCCCUGCAGCUUCAUCCUCCUCCAAGCCCUCUGUGAAGCUCUUUGCGAAGUCCCCUGUGGAGAGGCAUUUGUCCCUGCAGGAGCGGAAACAUGUGCUGUAUGCCUACGCCAGGAGGAAUUAACCAUCCGCCACCUGACUACCACGAUGGUCUGGCUAUCGCCUCAGCUUGGAAGGAGAUACACGGAGAAAUAUGGGACGCCGCGGGGUGAUGGGAGCCACUGAGGCGCCCCUCACCCUCCUGCCUGUGGCGUGUGCAGGGCUCCGGCCAUUGGGAGCGUGACCUCAGCAUGGCCGUUUUGCAUGAUUCACAGCACUGCAGUGGGAUCCCAAAGCCUCCGAAUCAGCACGCUUGAGAUGCAGCGGGGCCUUCGUGGCGUGUGCCAGCCCAGGCAGGCAGUGCUCAGCUGCCCACGGUGGGGCAGUAAGUGCCUGUGUAUCCCCGCAUCACACUCGACCUGCCUCCGGCGAGCCACACGGGGUUGGAGAGCUGAAACCGGGCUGCCCACGGGGGACUGGACUCCGCAUCAGCCUGGCCCGGCCGCCUCCACUUGGGCUGUUGUUAAACUGGGCAAAGGGGGUUUCUUCUCUGCCACAAAAAAUAAAUCUGACUCUAUUAUG